GAUGAACGCUGGCGGCGUGCCUAAUACAUGCAAGUCGAGCGAACGGACGAGAUGCUUGCUUCUCUGAUGUUAGCGGCGGACGGGUGAGUAACACGUGGAUAACCUACCUAUGAGAGUGGGAUAACUUCGGGAAACCGAAGCUAAUACCGCAUAAUAUCUUGAACCGUAUGUUUCAAGAGUGAAAGACGCUCUUGCAUCAACUAAUAGAGGUAUCGCGUUGUCUUAGGUAAGUUGUGAAGGUAACGCCUUACCAAGCGAACGAUGCAUGGCCGACCUGGGGGGGUGAUCGGCCACACUGGACCUGAGCACCGGCCAAGCCUCCUACGGGAGGCAGCAGUAGGGAAUUUUGGGCAAAGGGCGAAAGCCUGACGGAGCAACGCGGCGUGAGUGAUGAGGUUCUUCGGAUCGUAAAACUCUUUUAUUAGGGAAGACCAUAUGUGUAAGUAACUGUGCACAUCGUGACGGUACCUACUCAGAAAGCCACGGCUAACUACGUG
rnacentral:rRNA from 1 species